UACGUAGGGUGCAAGCGUUGUCCGGAAUUAUUGGGCGUAAAGAGCUCGUAGGUGGCGGGUCACGUCGGGGUGUGAAAGCCCGGGGCUUAACCCCGGGUCUGCAUUCGAUACGGGCAAACUAGAGUUUGGUAGGGGAGACUGGAAUUCCUGGUGUAGCGGUGGAAUGCGCAGAUAUCAGGAGGAACACCAAUGGCGAAGGCAGGUCUCUGGGCCAAUACUGACACUGAGGAGCGAAAGUCUGGGGAGCGAACAGG
rnacentral:rRNA from 1 species